rnacentral:rRNA from 1 species
GACAGAGGGUGCAAACGUUGUUCGGAAUUACUGGGCGUAAAGCGCGUGUAGGCGGCUAUGUAAGUCGGGCGUGAAAUCCCACGGCUCAACCGUGGAAGUGCACCCGAAACUGCGUAGCUAGAGUCCUGGAGAGGAAGGUGGAAUGCUUGGUGUAGAGGUGAAAUUCGUAGAUAUCAAGCGGAACACCGGUGGCGAAGGCGGCCUUCUGGACAGUGACUGACGCUGAGACGCGAAAGCGUGGAGAGCAAACAGG